rnacentral:rRNA from 1 species
UACGGGGGGGGCAAGCGUUGUUCGGAAUUACUGGGCGUAAAGGGUUCGUAGGUGGCUGGCUAAGUCAGACGUGAAAUCCCUCAGCUCAACUGGGGAACUGCGUCUGAGACUGGUCAGCUUGAGUGCAGGAGAGGAACGCGGAAUUCCUGGUGUAGCGGUGAAAUGCGCAGAUAUCAGGAGGAACACCGAUUGCGAAGGCAGCUCGCUGGAACGUUACUGACGCUGAGACGCGAAAGCGUGGGGAGCAAACAGG